AAAACUAAAGCUUUAUUUAUCAUAUUUCAAAUACGAUUAUACUUACAUAAAGAUGCAUUGAAAACUGUUGUGUUACUCCAAGUAAUUGUCGAGGUAGAUGUGGUGGAAACUGAAAUUUAAAAAAGAUUCAUUAUAAAUUAUGACAAAAUCAAUUAACUCGUGUAGAGAAAAUUAAUAUACUAUCUUCAUGAUUGUCAGAUUCAUAUCGUCCAGUGGGAAUUAUUUCGCACAUAAAUUUACAUUAGUUUGAUGGAUUAAUAGAAACCAUUUUACAUGCUCAUUUUAUCUGGAUGUGGGAGUGUACAUAUACACCCAACAUGUCAUUACCAGUUGGGAGAAAACCAUCUUAUUAAUUUCUUCUUUCAUAAUUACAUGUGGGGAAACAAUACAUUUUACAAACUACUUUAUUUACCUGUUAAUUCUUCAUUUGAUGAGUAUAUGGAUAAUGAUAACUGAAAUUAUAAAAUAAUAUUUUUGUUUUGCAUUUAAAAUGAAAGAAAACAGGAGAAUUUUGAAAGCAAAGAGAAGACUACCCCCCACAACAGCAGCCAACCCCAUAGAUUUAACAGCGGAGCUUGAUUAAAUGAGAAAGAGAGGGAAGAGACGUUGAAUGAUAUCAGGAGUAUUGUUGGUAAUCAUUUGGGGGAGAAGAACAUAGAGGAAAAGAUGGAAGAAGAGGAGACUAGCGUCCCAAUAAACAUUUUUAAUGGACUUUUCCAUUUUAACAAUGGACGAGCAAUACUGAAUUAUUUAUAAAAU